rnacentral:snoRNA from 1 species
AAGUUGUCACUGGCUCCUGCUUCCAUGUCGUGGCAACUAGUCUGUGUGCAAAGAUCGAGCUUCAUUGUCGCCCUGAGAAGAAGGCGUCUUGUCUCCUUCUCGUUUGGGACUGGCAUGGAGCGCCAAUCCGAGCCUUUUUGGACUGGGUUCUUUGGAGCCUUUUCCAUCUUUCGCUACUCCUCACGCCUUCGGGUGGAUAUCCACUUGCUUUCGGGCAGACAUGUCUUUGGGCGCAUGCUUUCGAGUGUGCACUAUGCCGUCGGACGGAUGGGAGAAGGGAGUUUGCUGUCUUUCGAGAUUGGAACAUGC